UAGGGAAUCUUCGGCAAUGGGGGGAACCCUGACCGAGCAACGCCGCGUGAGUGAAGAAGGUUUUCGGAUCGUAAAGCUCUGUUGUUAAGGAAGAACGAGUGUGAGAAUGGAAAGUUCAUACUGUGACGGUACUUAACCAGAAAGGGACGGCUAACUACGUGCCAGCAGCCGCGGUAAUACGUAGGUCCCGAGCGUUGUCCGGAUUUAUUGGGCGUAAAGCGAGCGCAGGCGGUCAAUUAAGUCUGAUGUGAAAGCCCCCGGCUCAACCGGGGAGGGUCAUUGGAAACUGGUUGACUUGAGUGCAGAAGAGGAGAGUGGAAUUCCAUGUGUAGCGGUGAAAUGCGUAGAUAUAUGGAGGAACACCAGUGGCGAAAGCGGCUCUCUGGUCUGUAACUGACGCUGAGGCUCGAAAGCGUGGGGAGCGAACAGG
rnacentral:rRNA from 1 species